AUUGAACGCUGGCGGCAGGCCUAACACAUGCAAGUCGGACGGUAGCACAGAGGAGCUUGCUCCUCGGGUGACGAGUGGCGGACGGGUGAGUAAUGUCUGGGGAUCUGCCCGAUAGAGGGGGAUAACCACUGGAAACGGUGGCUAAUACCGCAUAACGUCGCAAGACCAAAGAGGGGGACCUUCGGGCCUCCUACUAUGGGAAGAGCCUGCGUUGGAUUAGCUAGUUGGUAGGGUAAAGGCCUACCAAGGCGACGAUCCAUAACUGGUCUGAGAGGAUGAUCAGUCACACCGGAACUGAGACACGGUCCGGACUCCUACGGGAGGCAGCAGUGGGGAAUAUUGGACAAUGGGGGCAACCCUGAUCCAGCCAUGCCGCGUGUGUGAAGAAGGCCUUCGGGUUGUAAAGCACUUUAAGUGGGGAGAAAGGUUCGCUGGCUAAUAUCCAGCGGAAUUGAUGCUACCCACAGAAUAAGCACCGGCUAACUCUGUGCCAGCAGCCGCCGUAA
rnacentral:rRNA from 1 species